rnacentral:rRNA from 1 species
UACGGGGGGGGCAAGCGUUGUUCGGAAUUACUGGGCGUAAAGGGCUCGUAGGCGGCCAACUAAGUCAUACGUGAAAUCCCUCGGCUUAACCGGGGAACUGCGUCUGAUACUGGAUGGCUUGAAUCCGGGAGAGGGAUGCAGAAUUCCAGGUGUAGCGGUGAAAUGCGUAGAUAUCUGGAGGAAUACCGGUGGCGAAGGCGGCAUCCUGGACCGGCAUUGACGCUGAUGAGCGAAAGCUAGGGGAGCAAACGGG